rnacentral:lncRNA from 1 species
AAUUGGUUGCUCAAAACAGAAAUCAAAAAGAAGGUAAGAGAGAAAAGAAGAAGAUGAAGAAUUCUGCAAGAGAAAGUAGAGGCAGAGAAAGAAAGGAGAAAAAGAGGAAAUACCAUGGCAGAGAUGAGUCAACAGAUCAUUCCAGGAAAGAAUUUGCUGUGAAAUUAGUUUUGAGAUCAACAUUUGAAAAAGACCACGAAGUUACGACAUUGAAAACAAACCAGAGUGUUCACAGCAUCGCAAACUGCACUCCUUCCACCCUCCAGUCUUUCGAAAGGAGGUUUGGGAAGACAUGAGCUGUUGAGAAGUUGCCAGUUAAGAAGUCAGUUUGGAAGCCACUUUAAACCAAAGUUGCGUAAUCAGAACUGUUGGUCUUAAGUAUGUGUUUGAGUAAUGUAUUAAAUGGCAUUAACAUGGACAGUAAAACUCUUGCAUUAUUUUCUUCCCUGGAGGCAUAUAAUGCAAAACUUCAUUGACUGGAGCCAGUUUGGUAAAUGGGGCAGAAAAUGCCUGUAGAACUGAUGUAAUGUUACAAAGAAAGCGGAGCAUAAGAUGGCAUAUAAACUCCUAAUGGUAUUGUUUCCUAGAUUCUCCUUGUGCAGCAAAGUGAGUAUCGUUGCUGCUUUUAGGGGAAUAGCCCGAUUACAGUUAAGGCACCAAUGUAUACGCUGCCUGGCACACAUAUGACUAUGGGGCACAGAUUAGAAUUCAUUUCAUCGAGCUUUAAUUUCAUGUUCAGCCCCUUAAAAGUUCCAUAUCUUUUAAAUAUGCUGCCAGCAACCUGUUAUCUGGUAUAAUGAAAAGCAGUGUAACCACUCACCAAAUAAAAUCCCAUAUAAAAUCUAAACCUCA